rnacentral:lncRNA from 1 species
AAUAAGGGAGUCAUAUCUGAGCCUAAUAGGCUACUUAUGUAAUUAGGCUAUUCUUGUAAUUAGCUUAUUUUCUGUAGUUAGGCUAUAUGUGUAAAUAGACUAUUUCUGUAAUUGAUUAGGCUACAUUUGCAAAGGCUAUAUUUGAUAUAUAGCCUUUGGGGUCAUUUGGACAGACCUAAGGGGUCAUUUUUUCUUUGAUAAAAAUCUGAGUCUCUUCGAGACUCUUCCGGGUGCUCU